AAGAAGAUGAAGAGAAGAAGGUUGUGAUGAGGGAAAAUGUCCCAAGGGGCCCAUAUACACAGGAACACUACAAUGAACAGUAUUACAGCACCGCUGCUACUGUCAUGGUGUUCCCAGAAAUUGCUCUUUGCAGCUCUUCCAGGAGAACAUGUGGGGGAAGAAUGAUUGACGACCUGCAACUUAUGGAACACACAAGCUACAUUCUAGGACCUCCGCCCUUCCAAUCACAUCCUCCCCUGUCUCUAAGGAGCGCAGAAACAAAGGUAGAAUGUUUUAAAUGCUACAAGGCUGCAACCUUUUGCCUUCAGAAGCUAUGUCGGCCUCGGUUUGAGUGAAGGGAAUGGAUUCGGUCAAUUAUUCAUUGAGUAAGCAUGAAGCUUUCUAAUGUUCGUCCGCUGCUUUCUUCUCUGAGAUUUUUUCCCUUUAAUGCCCUGCAGCUCUCAGUUAUCUGUCGA